AUUGCAGGCCGCCUUAUCGCUCUUCAAUUCGUUGAGGGGAGGAAAGUCCGGACACCAUAGGGAGGCAUAGCGGCUAACGGCCGUCGCCCUGUAGUACUUACUAUAGGGUAGGACUAGUGCAACAGAAAGUAUGUACAGAUAAUGCUGUAGUGAAAUCAUGUAAACUCUAUGCGGUGAAAUACCACGUAAACUUGCAUUUUAGGGUUCCCGCCCAACGUAAGAGGGUAGGUAGAUAGAAUUAUUUGGCAACAAAUAAUCCAGAUAAAUGAUAAGGACCACGCAUUUAGUAUGGUACAGAAUCCGGCUUACAGGCCUGCUUUUUUU
rnacentral:RNase_P_RNA from 1 species